UUUUUUUUAAAGUUUUGUCCACUUGUCGAACGUAUGUGCAAAGAAAAGAAACCGGAACGAACAAAGGAAAUAGAUACGUACUUUUUUUUUGAGGGAAAAAUAGAUACGUACGUGUAAAGGAAACUUGAAACCUAAGGGAAGCAGCCGGCCGGCCGGCCCGUAUCUAUUUCUCAGUUGCCAAACGAAACAGAGCUGCCGGCCCAUAUGUCGAUUUUAUUUAUAGUUGCCAGCCAAUAUCGAGAGGACCCAUGGCAAAUUAAGGUUUCCUUGAGCGAAGAAAACAGCAGACGGCCAUUCAUGAAAACCUCAAAUGACUCGAAGGCCAGUAACUUCUCAAUCGGCCGAGACAACGGCAACGAGGGGAACUUUCAAAAGGUGCAGCCCCUCACUGGUCGCCGCCGCUGCACAUCGGCCACGGACGACGGCGAGGAGGUGAAACGGCCGAUGGGGAGGUGAGCCUGCCGUGCUUUGUGUUUCACGUUUAGUAAUCAUGCCACGGUCGAAUACCACCGAACAGGGCCGAUUGUGCAUGCACGUCAUCGUCGCCAUGGCCAUGCUAAGCAAAGAAAGAAGAGACAAGACAAGCAUCAUGCAUCAAUACAUGCUACGUCUAUCCUAAUCUGACAUGCAUAAUAUCUCUUUCUAGGUAUCUAAGGAAAUUACGAGCAUGCAUGCAUGGCUCAACCCGCAGGGUGCAAUCACUUGCUUUAUUUAUACUGACAUUACUUAGUCUUCAGUUUCUCGCAAAAGAAAAGUUAGUCUUGAGGCGGCUAAAAAAAUUAGGUGCUUUAAUACAAAUUAACACAGAUUUAUUUUGUGCAGACCACCUUCAUUGUGGGGAGUCAUGUGUGUUGUUUAACGUACUGCUUGGUAAUCGUGUGUUACAGAUAGGAAUGGUAUCAAAUAAUUACAUAUUAAGUGGUCAUGGUCAACUAAAUUGCUUAAAUGUGAUUGUUAUAUGAUAACUUUUUGUGUGUAAAGUUCAUUCCGGAAUCACUGAUUGAUGGACGAAAUUAUGAUGUCAAAUUUUUAUUCACAAUCUGGUCGGUGAAAUUGCUUAAACAUGGUUAUCAAAUCAGACAUCUAUGUUCUGAAGGUUUUAGCUGUAUCAUAUAUUUAGUUUAUUUAUCAACAUUGUUUCCCAUUGCAAUGCGCUGGCAUUUAACUAGAAACCUACAAAUAGAGAUUUUUAUAUAUAUACAAGUCAGAAGUUGCUAUACAUAUGCCUACGGAAGAUAAGAUUCCACAGCAGCAAUCAAACAAACUUUAAAUGUUCAUGCCAAUUAAUUUUUUAUACCUAUUACUAAAUUUCCCCUACUAUAGUUUGUUGUUCUUUCAUCGGAUAUUUUAGCAAUAUAUAGAUAUCACACCGGUCGCCUGGCAAAAGCCAGUGAAGACAGGCCAACAAAUGUUCUAACUUGAAAAUUCUCAAAAGUUCUUUCAUUUCUACACAUUCGCACAUCCCGAUUCUCACAGCCUAUUCUUUUUUCUCCCGUUGCAACGCACGGGCAUGUUUCCUAGUGAUGAACAAAUUGUGAUACACUAAUGCAGUACCACUUGGCUAAACGAUAGAGAAAUUCUCAACACCAUGGCACGCUGAGUGACUUGCUCUAAUUUUAAUCUAUCCAACCACCUCGGUUUAUUCCUUUAUGUCGAGCUUACUUACUUUAUUUGAAUAAUUCAUGAGGUCAAAUAUUUGAUGAAUUAUUUUCGGCACUGAACCAUGCACUAUUGUAUUGUUUUGGAUUUCACGGCUCAACCGAGCAGCGCGCGCCAAGGCGCGAUGCCUAUCUAGUUCAUGUGGUGGGUAGUCAACUAGUCAUCAUCUCAUGAAAGUAGUUCCAACAUGCCGACGUGUAGUCAAAAGCAUCAGGAUAAGUGGGUACGUUCGAAUUGUCCAGACAAACGCCCUAUUUUGGCUCCUCUCAGUUGCCAAUCCACAAGAUUUCAGAAAUCAACAUCAAACAAUGAGAAGCAAUCCCCCAAGCUAAGGCGUGCAAACAAGAUGUAGAUCAAGAAAGUAACACUAUACAAAAUGCACGAGAAGUAAUUGAAUCGAUUGGGCCAAAACUCGAAAGACAAACAGCAAGCUGCAGCAGCCCUGCAGCACCAAGGCUGUAGAGGCAAAGUGAACCUUUGGAGGCAAGCAAUGUAACUAUAUAGUUCAACAGAGCACAUCAUCAUUCUGAAGGAAAUAGCACAGUAUAGCAUUUCUGCAAAACUCAUGAUAGCAACCUACACCGAAUAUCUUCUUGACAUGAAUAAAGACCCAACCCAGACUACUGCUCAGAGAGCAAAUCCUACUCAUAAGAGCACCAUAGAUUUGAACUGGUUGUGCAGGCAGAUAACCCAAACACCCUAGUAACCACCCUUGAGAUCAUUGACCACAUCGUAGGGAAUGGGAGUGACGGUCUCAAUUGUGGUACCCUCGACCAUGAACCCAGGUUUAGGGCCGAGUGGCUGCCUCUUGGUGCUGAUGACCUCACCGCGCGCCUUGGCUUCCGCCUUGAGCUGGUCGUUCUUCACUUUCCUCAG
rnacentral:lncRNA from 1 species